rfam:Neotoma lepida isolate 417 scaffold_19091, whole genome shotgun sequence.
UUACCAGCCAGGCUCCUGGCUAAAUUCCAGCUCUUUGCUGGAUUUAGUCAAACCUGGCUGUAAA